CACCCUUUAAUCCGUGAUUAAUGCGGAUGUCAUUAUGUGCCUGUUCAGUAUAGCCGUCGUGAAUGUACAUGGGGCAAUAGGCUAGAACAGGACAAAAAGCAUAGGAGACGCCAGGAUACUAUAGUCAUAAGCAAACGCGAGUGUAUUUGACAGCUGGACCACAAUAAGCGGCUGGAAGUGAAAGUAUAUCCAGUCAGCAAGCUUCGCGGUACAAACUAAAUGUAUCGCUAAUAAAACGUCGUCUGGUUGCCUCUGAGUAACUAAUUUGCCAUCUUCUCCAAAGUUUGAGCUGCGUAUAGCCCGUGGCGUAUUGAUUGGAACCGAUGGGGCGCCGAGAACUCUCAAGAACCUUCCCCCGCGGACAUCACCUCAAGAUCCUGACGCGCUUUAGCAUUUGGACCCCAUGCACCGCUACUGAGUCAGACACCGUUCGAUAACACGUUGUUGAUCGACGUCAGUCAGCCCUAGUGGGCUAAGUGGCCAGGACGAAUUCAGGGUCACAUCGAGUGCGCAGCGUGGAUGCUAAUCGAAAUUAUGACAGUAUUUUGGGACUUCAGGCUGUGUGAGGUAAAUGCACUUCAUGGACACGCAGGAAACAGUCCAUUGCGAUUUUUACCGCUUCGCUAAAGACGCAAGUGUCUUUCUAAGGUUGCGGACCGUCAGAUCUGAUUUUGCAUCUGACCCGGACUACGCUAUAACCAUUAAUGCCGCUAACACUAUUCAUAGCUAUGUGACAGACAGUAGAACUAGGUAGUGAUAUAGAAAAAAAUACGUCAUAUGAGAGAGCGAUUAACUAUACUACGCUGUCCUGUUUUCCGUUUUUUUCGUCGCUGCUUAAUACGGCGCUGCUGUAUGGAUACUACUAGUGGAACCUGUGACGACGUACUGCUAUAGUUAGUUAUUAAAUAUUUAUUCUAAGCUACGGGCCUGAUAGACAUUCUGCAGACCAUAGCGGCGUACUACAUAAAGACAUUUGUCCAUAAUCAUUUCUAAACAUUUUUGAUUCCUUGGUAUAAUUAGGCCAUUCACAGGCCGUAGUACCUUCUUCUAUUUGAGCCGUCCGUUUAAAAGAAUUUGCAGAAGAACGUAGACUGCAAAUUCAACAACGACCGAUGCGCGCGAAAGAAGCGCACGUUCGUAGACAAAACAAACUAAGUUGGCCACGAAAUAGCCCGUGCCUAUAGAAUGCUAUGUAAGUACGGAUACACGAAACGACUAGAUCGUUUGUACGAUAUGCAAGUUAUUUACUAGCUUCUCUCGAAAAUUACAAUACUAUGUAAUUGUGGGAAAUCGACUGUCAUUCCUUCUAAAAAGCUCAGCUCUGCUGUUCUCGUCUUGUAUUGGGAACAGUAGCAUUUUAAAUUAAUUAAAAAAAUUCCGCACACUUUUUUGUGUGCGCGUCUAUUUGCGUAGACCGUAAAUCCCGUAAUACUAAAUUUCUAUUAUUUGACACUUACAAGUCUUUGAAGAGCGACUUGUCAAAGCAUCGCAGAAACGUACAUGUAUAAUUAGUUUACUAUAUUCCUUUAUUUUAAAGAAACGGUGUCAUGAAAAUGGAACGACGCAGUAUAGGCUGCAGAUUUGCGAAUGAUCGUCUGGUCGGCUCACGAAGUGAAUACUCCUAAUGGAGUCGCUAAAGGUGUCGGCCUUUCUGUAGAUCUCAAAUAGCUGCUGAAUCUAAAGGAACAGGAGUAAAAAGCCUCAAAAUGCAGACGCUAAGAAUUCCUGGCACGAUGCCAUCAUUUGUGCCAUACUCCCAGCGUUGCUUGUAAGUUCAGUAGGCCAAGCAUGGCUAUCGCUAUGUAGCUCCCUUUACUGCCGACGAGCGCCUCCAACUGCAGCUGCCCGACGACUGCAACUCUCGAAUGCUGCAGACAUCAUCGAAGCACCUGCUGCUACAUUACUUUAGGACUUCGGCCCUGUCAUAGGUAUAUCAAGCUGCUGAUUACUAGCAAAAGAUGCUGCAGACCUGAGGCUUAAUUAUUGGCCGUUCAUUUUUUUAGUAAUUGCCCUAGGGCCGCCCUAUUCUGUAUUGGCGCACUGCCAAUCCAGUAUGGCGGGUGGAGAGAUGUACGGUGCGCCUAAGGUCGAGACGGCUGGGACUACGUCUAAUAGUGGUUAUUUUUAUAUUUUGCUUCAUGCCGGUUUAGUUUGUCUUGAGCGUCUUAAGUAAUUGUUGCCACUUAGACUUCUGCUAUGCAGAAUGUCUAUUUCGAAAUAUUUAUUGAUUAUUCUGGGAAAUUGGGAACAGUAUAAGUGAGAACAAUUUAGAAAUUGAUUGGAACUGGAUUUGUUGCAGGCUGCUCUAAAUGCCAUUUGCUGCGGUCUAUUUACAUUGACUAAUAUUCAGGCAGGCAAUUCGCAGACAUGGGGUCCAACUUGACAGAUAGAGGCAACGUAACAAAAACGUAGAAAACUCACAAGUAAAAAAAAAUUACAGCUAAAGUUGCAAUCAGGAUACUCACUGUGUAGAUGUUUGCCAGAAGAACCUUUAAUGUUUAUAUCAUCGAUAUGAAAAUGGGUAUAAUACAUUAGAAACCGAAUGUAUAAUUAAAAUUUAACUAAAAUGAGUGUCGAGAAUAUCGUAAUAAACAUCUACUUCAAACACGAGUAGGUACGAGAAAAUUAACGCUUUAUUGUUAUUAAGACAUUCGAAAAGUAUUCAACCUGUUUACUAACAACAGUGUACAGCUACAGGAAAAUAUAUUAUGUAGUGCACAUUUUUAAUCGGAUCCCUACUGAUCGGUAUCAGUCAUUUAUAUCAGUAUUUAAUGUCCGGACACCCAUGUCUCUUGAACUAAACAAGCAAAAAUUAUAAAUUUCAGCGUAGAUCUUAGCUAGCCCCCUGUUGUUUAUAAGUGGAACCUGCACUACCAAAACUUUUUGGUCGAUGUAUACCUACUAGCUAUAUUGCUUUACGUAAUUCCGCACCGUACGUAUUUUGCGAGACCAAUUGCUAAUUGAUCUUUUUAGCGCAAUAAAGUAAGUAAAAUUACACGAAUUCGAAUUUGUGGA